rnacentral:lncRNA from 1 species
CCCAAGCCCAAAUAGAUCAUAAAAAAUAACAUAAAUUAGGUCUAGACCCAUCUGACAACCGUCUGGCGCCUAAUUUCACCGCUCGGCGCUAGUCAACUAUACUCUGGUAAACUUUUUAGCAUUAUGGUCAACUAGUUGACUGGUUGACUUUUUUGGUUGACCAGUUGACUUUUCGGGUGGACUGGUUGACUUUUCUGCAUUUUGUUUGACUUUUCUACACUCCAACC